AUUGAACGCUGGCGGCAGGCCUAACACAUGCAAGUCGAACGAGUGGCGGACGGGUGAGUAAUGUCUGGGAAACUGCCUGAUGGAGGGGGAUAACUACUGGAAACGGUAGCUAAUACCGCAUACCAUCGGAUGUGCCCAGAUGGGAUUAGCUAGUAGGUGGGGUAAAGGCUCACCUAGGCGACGAUGCCUAGCUGGUCUGAGAGGAUGACCCGCCACAAUGAAACUAUGACACGGUCCGUACUCCUACGUGAGGCAUCAGUGGGGAAUAUUGCACAAUGGGCUCAAGCUGGAUGCAGCCAUGCCGCGUGUAUGAAGAAGGCCUUCGGGUUGUAAAGUACUUUCAGCGGGGAGGCGUUGCCAGCAGAAGAAGCACCGGCUAACUCCGUGCCAGCAGCCGCGGUAAUUC
rnacentral:rRNA from 1 species